AAUGAACGCCGGCGGCAUGCCUAACACAUGCAAGUCGAACGAGACCUUCGGGUCUAGUGGCGCACGGGUGCGUAACGCGUGGGAAUCUGCCCUUGGGUUCGGAAUAACAGUGAGAAAUUACUGCUAAUACCGGAUAAUGACGUAAGUCCAAAGAUUUAUCGCCCAGGGAUGAGCCCGCGUAGGAUUAGCUAGUUGGUGAGGUAAAGGCUCACCAAGGCGACGAUCCUUAGCUGGCUGAGAGGAUGAUCAGCCACACUGGGACUGAGACACGGCCCAGACUCCUACGGGAGGCAGCAGUGGGGAAUAUUGGACAAUGGGCGAAAAGCCUGAUCCAGCAAUGCCGCGUGAGUGAUGAAGGCCUUAGGGUUGUAAAGCUCUUUUACCCGGGAUGAUAAAUGACAGUACCGGGAGAAUAAGCUCCGGCUAA
rnacentral:rRNA from 1 species